rnacentral:lncRNA from 1 species
AAGAAUUUUCAUUGAGAAGACUUUGGUAACGGACCCCGAGAGCGGGUUUGAUAUCCUUUCUUCUUCCGAAUUCUUUUAGAUACAACCUCGGUAAAACCAUCCUCAUCUGCCACAUUCGAACCAACUAGGGCAUUUUGAAUUGUUUCCAAAUCUUUAGUAAUAAUAGGGCAGCGAUGCGGAAUAACCGUAGCGAAGGGAUGCGACUUUGACAUAGGUGAGUCAGAGAGUAUUUCCUUGGCAUCACUUUCACCAUCAGACUCCUCCUCCUCAUUGAGCUGAAGUGCGACUGAUGUGGGAACAAUUUCAUGUUGUAACCGCUGUUUCGGAGCAAUCUCUUUGGGUGUGUCAAUAUUGCUGACAACUUCAACAUUAUUUUUGUCAAUCAAGUCAACAUUAUCACAAUCAUUUCCUUCCUGCACAUUGGACUGAGAUGCACCUGUUUUUGAUGUUAAUUCAUGUGGAAAAUUCAGCACCGAUUCAGCCACAGUGGGUAUAUCAUUAUUAUGUACAAUCUCAUCAGUGACGUUGUCAAGUGCCAAGCGAUACGAGAAUGCAGAUUUUUCACGACGGACUUUAAUGUGUUGUCAACCUCUCCUUCCUUGAAUCUAUGGGUAAAACACUUGAACUAUUUGUCUUUAUUUAUAACAGAAACAUAAACUUUUUUUUUUAAGAGACCAUUUUUUUAUUUCUUUAUUUUGUGUAGACCCAUGGCAAUCUACUUAUUUUUUCAUAUUUUCUUUUCCGACAAAAUAUGUUCUACUGUUACCCCACCCCAAACUUAAAAUGUUGUUAAUUCCAAAGAGCAACCACAAACUUAUUUUUAAACCAUACUCAGUCAAAAUUAUUCCUAUCUAACUCCAAGAGAAGUCAAACAGGGUACAUAUAAGGUUCAGGAUUGUGGCAUGAUUCGUCACUAAGUAACAGAAAAGAAACUUUCAUCUGGAGGCUCAAAUUGGUUUCACAAAGGAUAAUAGGAAUAUAAAAAAGGUGGCUAUAAAGGCUCAAGGUACUUUUAGCCUGUAAUUUCGACAAGCUCAUUUAAUGUGGUUAACAUUUAGUUAACUUUUAACUUUGCAGGAAUCAAAGACUUUCUCAUUUUAAUUUAAGGAUUUCGACAAGAUAGCAAGCCUAGCGCGCAUGGUUAAGAGUUUGAUAGAGCAAGAUUAAAAGCGUAAUUGCGUUGAAGUCAAGCAGACAAGGAGGGAAAGAUACGAUUUCAAGCUCAAAGGCAGUUUCCUUAGUGGGAACAUGGGGACAAGCGGUUGUCCAAGAUGGAGGAAGUGCUGAUCAUGGGAUUAGUCUUUUGCCAGUUAUUUUCUUUAUGUAUAUAUAAAUAAGAGUUUCCUAGUCGGAAAAUGGGUCACAAAUCAUUUAUAGAAAUUCUACAACACUCAAACUACCAGCGCAUAGGGAAACGAGUUAUACAGAAUGUAUAUAAACUGAUUUGUAGACCAUUUUAUUUUUAAUGCAAUGCAUUUUACAUUCCUUUAAGUUUAUGCGUUUAAACUUUU